AUAACUCCCUUCCCUAUCUCUCUCUAAAAACGGCGGAGAUUCCCCUUCACAAAAAACCAAUGACGGACCACCCCCAUUGCUGUCUUUCGUUUCUUUGGAAAUUUCAUAAAUAUGUAAAAUCAUGCUUCUCUCUUCAAGAUGUUUUAUGUCUGCAAUUUUAACAAAAAAUGGCAUAAUAUUUUAAGUUUCUACUUCUUAGUUGAUUUGGGCUUCAAAUAUGGAGGUUGAUUGAGUUGAGGUGCUGUUCGAAGUUGUUUCACUUGAGUUCCAUCCAUUUCAGAUUUCGGCUUUAGCUGUUAGCUCACCUUGUUCGUGUAAUUGCUGAAAAUUUCAGUCAGUCGAAGGUCUAAUUUUAGGUGUGAAGAAGCUGUGUUAGCUGGAUUUAUUUCUUUAAAUUUGAUGAACUCUUCC
rnacentral:lncRNA from 1 species